rnacentral:rRNA from 1 species
UACACUCCUACGGGAGGCAGCAGUGGGGAAUAUUGCACAAUGGGCGCAAGCCUGAUGCAGCCAUGCCGCGUGUAUGAAGAAGGCCUUCGGGUUGUAAAGUACUUUCAGCGGGGAGGAAGGCAAUACGGUUAAUAACCGUGUUGAUUGACGUUACCCGCAGAAGAAGCACCGGCUAACUCCGUGCCAGCAGCCGCGGUAAUACGGAGGGUGCAAGCGUUAAUCGGAAUUACUGGGCGUAAAGCGCACGCAGGCGGUCUGUCAAGUCGGAUGUGAAAUCCCCGGGCUCAACCUGGGAACUGCAUUCGAAACUGGCAGGCUUGAGUCUUGUAGAGGGGGGUAGAAUUCCAGGUGUAGCGGUGAAAUGCGUAGAGAUCUGGAGGAAUACCGGUGGCGAAGGCGGCCCCCUGGACAAAGACUGACGCUCAGGUGCGAAAGCGUGGGGAGCAAACAGGAUUAGAAACCCUAGUAGUCCA